GGUAGAGGAGCAUUCUUAAAGAGACGAAGCUGUACCGAAAGGAGCAGUGGAUUUUUAAGAAGAGAGAAUGCCGGAAUGAGUAGCGAGAAAGAGGUGAGAAUCCUCUUGGCCGAAUAUCUAAGGUUUCCAGGGUAAAGCUGAUCUGCCCUGGGUAAGUCGGGGCCUAAGGCGAGGUCGAAAGACGUAGUCGAUGGAUAACAGGUUGAAAUUCCUGUACUAUCCUGUAACAGAACUGUGGGGACGCAGACAGAGAGCACAAGCCGGGAAUGGAAAGACCGGUGCAAGCGAGGUAGGAGUACAUCAGGCAAAUCCGGUGUGCAAUCCGAAGACGUGAUGCGGAUCGAAAAGAAGUAGAGAAGUGUGUGAGCUGGCUGCCAAGAAAAGCCGCUAUUGUUUACAGGAUACCCGUACCGUAAACCGACACAGGUGGAUGAGGAGAGAAUCCUAAGGCCGACGGGAGAAGCAUUGUUAAGGAACUCGGCAAAAUGACUCCGUAACUUCGGGAGAAGGAGUGCCAUGCGAAUGGCCGCAGAGAAUUGGCCCAAGCAACUGUUUAGCAAAAACACAGGUCUAUGCGAAACCGAAAGGUGAGGUAUAUGGGCUGACGCCUGCCCGGUGCUGGAAGGUUAAGGGGAGAGGUUAGCGCAAGCGAAGCUUUGAACUUAAGCCCCAGUAAACGGCGGCCGUAACUAUAACGGUCCUAAGGUAGCGAAAUUCCUUGUCGGGUAAGUUCCGACCCGCACGAAAGGCGUAAUGAUUUGGGCACUGUCUCAACAAUGCACCCGGUGAAAUUGAAAUACCAGUGAAGAUGCUGGUUACCUGCGCCAGGACGGAAAGACCCCAUGGAGCUUUACUCUAGCUUGAUACUGGGAUUCGAUAUUGCAUGUACAGGAUAGGUGGGAGACUAGGAAGUGGUGACGCCAGUUGCCAUGGAGUCAAUGUUGGGAUACCACCCUUGCAGUAUUGGGUUUCUAACCAGCAGCCGUGAUCCGGCUGGGGGACAAUGUCAGGUGGGGAGUUUGACUGGGGCGGUCGCCUCCGAAAGGGUAUCGGAGGCGCUCAAAGGUUCCCUCAGAAUGGUUGGAAACCAUUCGAAGAGUGCAAAGGCAGAAGGGAGCUUGACUGCGACACCGACGGGUGGAGCAGGUACGAAAGUAGGACUUAGUGAUCCGGUGGUAUAAAGUGGGAUUGCCAUCGCUCAACGGAUAAAAGCUACCCUGGGGAUAACAGGCUUAUCACUCCCAAGAGUUCACAUCGACGGAGUGGUUUGGCACCUCGAUGUCGGCUCAUCGCAUCCUGGGGCUGUAGUCGGUCCCAAGGGUUGGGCUGUUCGCCCAUUAAAGCGGUACGCGAGCUGGGUUCAGAACGUCGUGAGACAGUUCGGUCCCUAUCCGGCGUGGGCGUAGGAUAUUUGAGAGGAGCUGCCCUUAGUACGAGAGGACCGGGGUGGACUGGCCGCUGGUGUAUCUGUUGUAUUACCAAGUGCAUAGCAGAGUAGCCAAGCCGGGAAGGGAUAAACGCUGAAGGCAUCUAAGCGUGAAGCCCCCCUCAAGAUGAGAUAUCCCAUAACGUCAAGUUAGUAAGACCCCUUGAAGACGACGAGGUAGAUAGGGCAGAGGUGGAAGUGUGGCAACACAUGGAGCUGACUGUUACUAAUAGGUCGAGGGCAUAACCAAA
rnacentral:rRNA from 1 species